ACGAGAGACAAAAGAAAAGACACGCGCACACUCACCCCACACUUCUGCAAGGUUUUUGUUGUAUAGUUCUGUGCAAAGAAGCUCCGCGAUGAACGUUUUCGUUUUUAGCUUCAUAAAUUGCGGCUGUUUUUCGGUUUGCGUUUCUGUACACUGAAUGCAUGGUAUAUAGUGGUUUCUUCAGUGAGUCACCCUGUGCUUGCUGUACUGUACGUGUCUCAGCACCGGACUGAUUAUUCUUGUGACUGUACGUAGGUAAGGUACCACCGCUGCCUCACCACUUUGUCCGUCAGCGUGUCUGCCAGUAUUUUCUUUUGCCAGAUUCAAUUCUAUAUAAUUGUAAAAGUCACCGUGGAUAAGAGAAGACAGUGAGUCUUCCGGGCACCCGUCUGCGUUUUGGAGUUGGGCUAACCGGAACUGGAGUCCCGGUCCUACCACUCUUACCUUCUACCUGAGCUGAGCUGGUUGUAAAGGCCAGUCUAACUGGCUCGGUGAGGCAGAAGUACAUUUAGUGUGCGCACAGAACAGUGUGGAAUAGUGACACAGAGGCAUUAAGUAUGAGUUCUAAGUCAGGCCCGAAACAAGUGCCCGAUAGAGAGUGAGUAGUGACGGAAACGUGGCUAGGACAGUUGCUGUCAUAGUACUCCUGGGUAACUUCAGCAAGCUCUGCUUUUAACUCUGAUACAAUGCGUGUUUCCAGAGGAUGUCUGAUAUUGUAGUAGUUUAGUGUAGUUGUUAUAAGCAGUCAGAGUGUUAUAGGCAGCUAAGUUAGAAACUACUACACAGUCAGAGAGAGAUCGAGCCCCCAAGAAGUCAGCACAAAAAAUAAAAGACACUGCAGUUACGGCUAAUGGCAAAUCUGAAGAGAACCAGCCUCUGGAUGGAAACGCAGCAGUGAGGCCUGCUUGUCCGCCUGGAAGUAAGCAGCAACUUGAGAUUAUACGCAACUAGCACCACCUGUUCCCGUGGACGCCGGAUAGGCAUCAUAUAUGGUGGAAGGAGGGAGAAGCUGGAAAAGCCCCUGUUAGCGUGACACAGAGGCUGGCCGGUGUUCCAAGCCUUGCCAUUCCCUGGAAAGCACUCAUCUUCCUCCUCCCAGGAACCCACUGAGGCACAGCACAGAUUCCUAGUUUGAAAUGAGCGUCAGUGGCUGCCAACACACAUCGUCAAAGCUUGGUGGUGAGACCCAGGCUGGCACGGACAUCUUCUCCAGCUCCCGGUUAGAGGCCGUCUGUCCGAGGCGCCAGCAAAGCUCUGCGCAUUCCCACCGUGAGUGCCCUUCUCGAUGGCCUCACUUGCGGCGUCACCACAACGCAGGGCAAUUAUUACUGACGUGGCACAGUGAAGAAGUCAUCGGUGCGUACGGUACAUUUUCAUUGUAUGUGGUGCACAGGGUCUUCCAAGUUGAAAAGUAAAUGCAUAGACACGUUGAA